GACGAAGGGGGCUAGCGUUGUUCGGAAUUACUGGGCGUAAAGCGCGUGUAGGCGGUUGCCCAAGUCGGGUGUGAAAGCCUUGAGCUCAACUCAAGAAAUGCACUCGGUACUGGGUGACUAGAGGACCGGAGAGGAUAGUGGAAUUCCCAGUGUAGUGGUGAAAUAACGUAGAGAUUGGGAAGAACACCAGUGGGCGAAGGCGGCUAUCUGGGACGGUU
rnacentral:rRNA from 1 species